UACGUAGGGUGCGAGCGUUGUCCGGAAUUAUUGGGCGUAAAGAGCUUGUAGGCGGUCUGUCGCGUCUGCUGUGAAAAUCCGGGGCUCAACCCCGGACUUGCAAUGGGUACGGGCAGACUAGAGUGUGGUAGGGGAGACUGGAAUUCCUGGUGUAGCGGUGAAAUGCGCAGAUAUCAGGAGGAACACCGAUGGCGAAGGCAGGUCUCUGGGCCACUACUGACGCUGAGAAGCGAAAGCAUGGGGAGCGAACAGG
rnacentral:rRNA from 1 species